GCCCUUAGAGUUUGAUCCUGGCUCAGGAUGAACGCUGGCGGCGUGCCUAACACAUGCAAGUCGAACGAAGCCCUCGGGCUUAGUGGCGGACGGGUGAGUAACGCGUGAGAAUCUCCCUUCAGGAUGGGGACAACCGUUGGAAACGACGGCUAAUCCCCAAUGUGCCGAAAGGUGAAAAGGGUUUCCGCCUGAAGAAGAGCUCGCGUCCGAUUAGUUAGUUGGUGAGGUAAGAGCUUACCAAGGCAGCGAUCGGUAGCUGGUCUGAGAGGAUGAGCAGCCACACUGGGACUGAGACACGGCCCAGACUCCUACGGGAGGCAGCAGUGGGGAAUUUUCCGCAAUGGGCGAAAGCCUGACGGAGCAACGCCGCGUGUGGGAAGAAGGCUCUUGGGCUGUCAACCACUUUUCUCAGGGAAGAAGACCUGACGGUACCUGAGGAAUCAGCCUCGGCUAACUCCGUGCCAGCAGCCGCGGUAAUACGGAGGAGGCAAGCGUUAUCCGGAAUUAUUGGGCGUAAAGCGUCCGCAGGGGGCGCAUCAAGUCUGCUGUUAAAGGUCGGAGCUUAACUCCGGUAGAGCA
rnacentral:rRNA from 1 species